rnacentral:piRNA from 1 species
UGAAUGGAGUUUUGUAAUUCCAAGGGA